CCUACGGGAGGCAGCAGUGGGGAAUAUUGGACAAUGGGGGCAACCCUGAUCCAGCAAUUCUGUGUGCACGAAGAAGGUUUUCGGAUUGUAAAGUGCUUUCAGCAGGGAAGAAGAAAGUGACGGUACCUGCAGAAGAAGCGACGGCUAAAUACGUGCCAGCAGCCGCGGUAAUACGUAUGUCGCGAGCGUUAUCCGGAAUUAUUGGGCAUAAAGGGCAUCUAGGCGGCCCUGUAAGUCUAGGGUGAAAACCUGCGGCUCAACCGCAGGCCUGCCCCGGAAACUACAGGGCUAGAGUGCUGGAGAGGUGGACGGAACUGCACGAGUAGAGGUGAAAUUCGUAGAUAUGUGCAGGAAUGCCGAUGAUGAAGAUAGUUCACUGGACGGCAACUGACGCUGAAGUGCGAAAGCUAGGGGAGCAAACAGGAUUAGAUACCCUGGUAGUCCUAGCUGUAAACGAUGAUUACUGGGUGUGGGCAUGAAGAGUGUCCGUGCCGAAGCUAAUGCGAUAAGUAAUCCGCCUGGGGAGUACGGCCGCAAGGCUGAAACUCAAAGGAAUUGACGG
rnacentral:rRNA from 1 species